CAACUGAAAGUUGAACAAAUUGAUUUGAAAUCUGGUUAGAAGUAAUGACACCGUUAUUUAUAAUAGCACGUUGAGAUGACUGUGGUUGUUUCUGCGGUUGCCGUCCCAGCUGCUGAGUCACCUGGAUUGGUGGAAUAACUGGUCAUGUUAAGGGUUGCGGUUGUUCUGCUGCAAUGACAUUCGUGUGAUAACACUUGCCAUUGGUGUCGGCAGUCGUGAAGUUUUGGACUUGCUAAUGAGUUUGUUACCGCUGUAAAUGCUCACAUGCCGUGAUGGGAAGUCCGUUUUUACCUUUAGGCAAAACUCACUUUUACUUAUGUAUUUGAAAAUGCUCAAUUUAAACACUUCUUGACUCCUUGUUUUCAAACACUUGAGUUGAGUUUCUAUUUUGAUUCUUUUUGUUUUGGGUAUUGACUUUUGUGACAUUUGCUAUUGCUUUCACCAAACAAAUUGCAUCAAAACCAACUGGAAUGGGAGCAACAACAAUCACAGUUCAAAUCUCAGUAAUUCAUCAAGUCCCACAUGGAAAACCUUUCCACCUUGAUUUCGUCGCCAGCAAUCAUGCGUUAUUGAUUUCAAUUUCAACGGAAAGAGGUAAACAGCAGAGCCAGCUUUUGAUUCCUCAGGCAAGAGAUGCAUAUUACAAAGGAGAGCCUUUGAUUGUUGAUGACAUGUUUGAUAGAGUUGAGUUGAAGCUUAAGUGGUAUGGUUCCAAGUCAGUUGUUAAGUAUCCUUGAUGCAGUAUCAAAAGGCAAUCGACCUAUGCGGAUGCUGAGUUGUUGAUACUUUAAGUUGUGGUCGGAGAGGCGGAUAUUUUGGCAUCCUGGUUUUCAAUCCUGGAAGCCCUUGCAGCAAGAAGCAUAACAGGCAACCAUUGAGCUUGGUAACUAUCAUACCCCGAUUUUGGUCCUAAAUUUUUUCCAUUUUUUCAUUUUUAUUUGGCACUUGUCCUAAAGUUCAUUUGCAUACAUUCAGGACCAAAG